ACUGGGUAUAAUCCCCGAUAGAUCUCGGUCGCUGGAAAGCCCCGAGAUCGAAAGCUCCGGCGCCAGAGGAUGGGUCUGCGGCCUAUCAGGUAGUAGUGGGUGUAGCGUACCUACUAGCCUACGACGGGUACGGGUUGUGAGAGCAAGAGCCCGGAGAUGGAUUCUGAGACACGAAUCCAGGCCCUACGGGGUGCAGCAGGCGCGAAAACUUUACAAUGCCGGCAACGGCGAUAAGGGGACCUCGAGUGCCAGGUUACAAAUCUGGCUGUCGUGAUGCCUAAAAAGCAUUGCAUAGCAAGGGCCGGGCAAGACCGGUGCCAGCAGCCGCGG
rnacentral:rRNA from 1 species